GCCUGGUGUCUCAUUCACCAGAAAUCGUUCUCACUGUGGACUCUUGACUCAAAUGUAAUCCAGGAAUGGAACGUGCUGUUGCUGGAUGCCACACGCAGCAUCGGGAGCUGAGUUGGGGGUUAUAUGAUCUUACCCCACACCUUAGAAGUGAAGAUUAUCGUUGUCAGGCCUCUGAGCCCAAGCCAAGCCAUCGCAUCCCCUGUGACUUGCAUGUAUAUGCCCAGAUGGCUUGAAGUAACUGAAGAAUUACAAAAGAAGUGCAAAUGCCCUGCCUGGACUUAACUGAUGACAUUCCACCACAAAAGAAGUGAAAAUGGCUGGUCCUUGCCUUAAGCAAUGAUAUUAUUUUGUGAAAUUCCUUUUCGUGGCUCACCCUGCCUCAAAAAGCUCCCCCACUGAGCACCUUGUGACCCCCACUGCUGCCCGCCAGAGAAAAACCCCCCCUUUGACUAAUUUUCCUUUACUUAUCCAAAUCCUGUAAAACGGCCCCACCCUUACCUCCCUUCGCUGACUCUUUUGGGACUCAGCCCGCCUGCACCCAGGUGAAAUAAACAGCCGUGUUGCUCACACAAAGCCUGUUUGGUGGUCUCUUCACACGGGCUCGCAUGACAAUAGUUAAGGAGAUACUGAAGUCUUUGCCAGCUCCAAGAGCUUUUUCAGUUUGUGUCGGGCCAUUUUAGGCAGAAGGAAAAGCUUGCUUAGAGAAUCUUACAGAAAUGUUUGGUGCAGCGCCAUUCAUGGAAUAAAUGUGUAACUUUCUGUGGCGGCCCUCUGGAAGGAGAUGCACUUUGAGUGCACCCUGGCCUGCUCGCUACAAGAAUCGGCCCGUGUCACCCCGCUUUCCGUGGGUCUGCAGGUGGCCGUGGAAGGGAAGAUGAUCAGGAAUGCUGGUGACAGUUACCGGUGCGUGUUGAUGUGUGCUGCUUUCUGCAGAUUUCUUGGCAUCUUCUCCCUUAUCCAGAAGUGAGGGUGAACGCCGAGUUAUUCACAGGAGUCAAGAGACCACACAGAGCCCAAAGUGGCAUUUGUUUCCCUGAAAUGAUUUGUGUGUGUUCACCUUAAAAUGCAACUCAGUAAAACAGGUAUGUUUUGAGGAAUGACUUUAAAUUACCCAGGUAAAAAUGUGACAGUUCAAUUUCAUCCAGUCUGUGCAGGUGUCCAUAAUCCCUUCUGUGGUUGCGUGUGAGUUUAUGUGACUUGUGGUUAUUUUUGAAGAAAGAAAAUCUGUUGUUGCUGAGGACUUCAGAUGGUGCGCUGGGAUUGUGUGGGCGGACAUCGGGGCUUCA
rnacentral:lncRNA from 1 species